UUUCACUCAUCAGUACUGCAAAAAAAGCUUUAAACAUGGCUCUUUGUUUGUUUUGUUUUAUUCAGUAUUAUUGUGUGUGAGUUCAAACAGCACAGCAUGUCUCCACACCUUACUAGAGAAACCACUUACAAACCACUAGAGGUGUGAUUUCUGAGGUCUUUUCUCUUUAGGAGGAAGAUGUGUAGAGGACGUGAUUACCGAAGGACAUCAGGACUGUGAGGGAAAGCCGGAGGAUCAGACUGAACCUGACCUUGUCACUUUCUGUACUAAAUAACACAUGAACACAGCCGGAGCAGCACGAGUUCAGAUCAACGCUGGAGAGAAAACUGAAUAUAGCAGCAUUAUAACAAUCUAAUCCAAAAUAAAUAUAGACACGUUCUCAGAUAUUAUAGAAUAAUGCUGAAGACAUAUAUUAAAUACACACCAUGGACUAGCACAAGACUCACUCUUUAUUGUUGGAUUUUUUGUAAGUAUGUGAUAUUUUGCUAUUUAAAAAAUCAGAUUCAGACAUAUAUAUGUGUGUGUGUGGGGGUGGUGGGUUCCAGAUAAUUGUGUUCUCUUCACCUUCAUUUAUAUUAGCUAAGGGUAUUGUUCUGCAUUCACUUUGUCUAUUAAUCAUUAAAAACUGCUGAUGGAUAAUCUUGCAAAUUAUAUUUUGAAUGUACGUGUUAUUUUAUAUCUUAUGUGUACCAUUCUUAUGUAUAUUAGAUUAAAAAAUAAAUGCUCUAGGAGACUUUUGCAUAAAUAGACUGCUAUAGAAGUUCUUGUUUGUGACUUUUUAAAACUUUGAGUAAGAAUAAAAAAGGAGGAUUGUUGAAUCUGC